rnacentral:rRNA from 1 species
AUGGCGUCCAAAGUCCUUGUCGCAAUCCUCCUGCUCGCCGCGGCGACGCCAGCGUCGCUGGCUGCCAUCGAUGUGGUGCAGCUGCUCGCCGGAAAACCCCAGUACGCGACCUUCCUGAGGCUCCUGAAGGAGACAAAGGUCGCCGAUGACGUGAGCCGCCUCAAGUCGGCUUCCGUGCUGGUCGUCACCGAGAAGACCGUGAAGCCACUCUUGGCGGUGCCGGCCGCCAAGCAGAGGACGAUCCUCCUGCAUCAUGUGCUCAUCAAGUAUUUCGACCCCAUCCAGCUGGGCGAGAUGAAGACCAACGUUGCCAAGCUCCAGACCAUGCUCUCCAACACGGAUGAGGACAUGGGCACCAUCGACUACUCCAAGGACAAGGACGGCCAGAUGUACCUACGCUCCCCAGGCGCCGACAGUGUCGCCAAGCUCGUCAAGGUCGUCGCCGCGCGCCCCUUCACCAUCUCCAUCAUGGAGAUCAGCGCGCCGCUCUUGUGCCCCAAGCUACUCGGCCCUGGCGCCGCCGGCGCUGCCGCUGGCAGGCCCAAGGGCAAGGGCAAGGGCAAGAUCAAAACCAUGUCCGCUGAGGAAGGGGCCACCGCCGCGGCUCCAACUGCCUGA